rnacentral:misc_RNA from 1 species
UGGUAAUGACAGUGGAGAGAAGGUGUCUAUUUUGGCGGGUACCCUUGCUCGAUUAGAUAGAGAUGCUCCGCAGUAUAAAAAAGACGGCUACAAUGACUUCAACACAUUCUACAUGCAAGCUGCUUCGGGGACUAAAGGUGGUUCAAGUGGCUCACCUGUAAUUGAUUGGCAAGGAAGAGCUGUUGCCUUGAAUGCUGGGAGCAAGUUAUCAAGUGCAUCUGCUUUUUUCUUGCCUUUAGAACGAGUUGUCAGGUCACUCAAGUUCUUACAGGAAGGAGGAUAUCAUUCUACUAAUACAUGGGCAGCGGUCACGAUUCCUCGUGGUACACUUCAGGUGACCUUUCUCCAUAAAGGCUUUGAUGAGACACGCAGGCUUGGAGUUCAACGUGAGACAGAACAGUUGGUGCGCAAUUCAACUCCACCCUCUGAAACUGGAAUGCUUGUUAUCGAUUCCGUGGUUCCUGGUGGCCCGGCUCAUAAUCAAUUAGAGCCCGGUGAUGUGCUUGUUCGCAUGAAUGGGGAGAUUGUUACCCAGUUCCUGAAGAUGGAGACUUUACUCGAUGAUAGUGUUGAGCAGAAAAUUGAGCUUCAAAUUGAAAGGGGUGGCACUCCCUUGACAGUGGACUUGUUGGUUCAGGAUUUGCACUCAAUAACUCCUGACCACUUCUUGGAAGUUGGCGGUGCAGUGAUACACGCCCUUUCUUAUCAACAGGCUAGAAAUUUUCGUUUUAAUUGUGGUCUUGUCUAUGUCUCUGAACAAGGAUACAUGCUAUCUAGAGCAGGAGUUCCUCGCCACUCCAUCAUUAAAAAAUUUGCAGGGGAAGGUAUUUCAAGGCUUGAAGAAUUAAUUUCCGUUUUAUCUAAGUUGUCUAGGGGUGCAAGAGUACCAUUGGAGUAUA